UUUGAGGGGAAUGUUGUUUGGCUCGAGGCCACCAACUUCAUCUAAUGUGAGCAAACUCUUUGUUAGUGUCGUCGGACCAGGCUUCAUUCCCCUCAAA
rnacentral:pre_miRNA from 1 species